UACGUAGGGUGCAAGCGUUGUCCGGAAUUAUUGGGCGUAAAGGGCUCGUAGGCGGUCCAUCACGUCGGGAGUGAAAAGCUGGGGCUUAACCCCAGUCCUGCUUCCGAUACGGGUGGACUAGAGGUAGGCAGGGGAGAACGGAAUUCCUGGUGUAGCGGUGAAAUGCGCAGAUAUCAGGAGGAACACCUGCGGCGAAGGCGGGUAGCUGGGCCGACACUGACGCUGAUGCGCGAAAGCCAGGGGAGCGAACGGG
rnacentral:rRNA from 1 species